rnacentral:lncRNA from 1 species
UUUUUUUUUUUUUGUCAAAACAUUUGUGCCGCGUCACUGGAUUUCGUCGGCCAGUUGCUUCAGGGAGCUCACGGAUUUGUUGUCCGUCGCCACAAACCUCCCGCCGGUAAGCCGGGGGAAUCACAUUGCGAUGGUCGAGUCGGUGUAGGCAGGAGCAGGCAAAAGAUGAGGCGGUGCAGGGGAGAAUGGCUCCCCGCGCCGUACAUCAUCUCCGUGCUGCUCUUCCUACCAAUGGCCUGCGGACGAUUGCUCAUUGGCGCAAGCGACACGUCGCCGCCACCUGCGCUGACACCAACCUUCAUCAAGCAAGUUGACGAUUGGGUGAGUAAAUUUUCUAUGUAUUUCAUCGCACUCGGUAGUAACAUCUGUACUGAGAUGGUGUCAUUCCAUAGUUUGUGAUCAAGACCAAAAGUAGUUUAGUUUUGGUCAUCUUAAGAAGUGAGAAUUAACUUAUUAAGUACUCCCUCUGUAAACAAAUAUAAGAGCGUUUAGAUCACUACUUUAGUGAUCUAAACGCUCCGAUAUUUCUUUACGGAGGGGGUAUCAAUCCUUUUGUUAGAGAAAAAACCGGUUCAGGAAGGCAGGAAUUGCCACCAUCGAGACCAUAGAAUGAUAGAAUUGCAAGGAUUGCCCGGCUAUAUUUCUGAUAUGGUGUUUAGGUUGGUGCCCUCUCUCUAUCAGCGCAUAGGGUCCACAUGUAUGAGCUCAUGAUGCCGGCAUUCAGAAUUGUCAUAUGGUGCUCUUCGAAUUACCUGUGACAGAAGAGAUAAGAUCACUGAAUUUCUAGUGGUUCCCAGAGGCCACAGCUGUUUAUGAUUUUACUGCAUUGAAAAUACUGACUAAUACAGAUUAAAACCCUGCAAGCAGAAGCAGAGAUUUUGAAACAAAUUAUUAACGUUCCCUCCUGUUAGGUACACAUCACUGCACUGGUCGAACAUCUUUAUGCGCUGAUGAUAUCUUAAAUUUUAAUUAUUACUGCUUAUUUAAUGAGUAGCAUGUGUCGGAUUAACUCUGUUAUUAUUGGUAUGAUGCAUGUAGACUUAUUUUUUCCUUAAGUAAGGAAUGUGAUGAUAAUAUGAUAUUGUUCGCAAAUAUAAGAUGUUCUAACUUUUUUCUCAAUCGGAUGUAUAUAGACAUGUUUUAGUGUGUUUGUUCACUAAUUUCAAAUUUCAGUCUGUAUGUAGUCCAUUUUGAAAUAUCCAAAAUAUCUUAUAUUUGUGAACAGAGGGAAUAGUCUCUAACUGCUGACUCUCACUGGUACUUCAUGGUAGUUUAUAUUUUUAAUGGUCUGGUUUAUCAUAUUAUUAUUCUGAAAAGGAUGCACACCCAGUUUAUCUCAUCAGGAUCUGUUAUUGAUUAAUUUUCACGUACUGACAAGGGUGACCACUCGUUAUGAUAUCUAUAGGUGGAACACGCGUGGCUCAAAUGUGGAUUGGACAAGAAAAGCCUUCAAGAUGUUAGAAACUACUACAACUACAACCAUGUACUUGAUAUCAUCCAUAGGAUAUCUGAUAAUAAGGGAACUUCCCCUGUCAUUGCAAAAGGUGCAGGCCCAUUGACACCAGAUAUCAAGCAAACUUUGCUGACCUGCUUAAGCAAACAGAAUUUUGAGGUUCCAAAAAACCUACCCGAUGGUUAUAUCAAAACACUUAUCGCCUCAAUAAGAGGAGAGCUGACUCCGGGACCUGCUCCUGCAAAUGAAGCAGUAAAACCUCCGACAGGGAAACCAGCUGACGGUGCUUCAUCAGAAGCAACUACAAAAAAGGCAGUGCCUGCAACUAAAUCAGUGGGGAAAAAAGACAGCGAUGGCAUGCCAACUACCACUAUCGUUGGUGUGUCCCUGGUUGUUAUCGCACUUUUAGCUCUUCUCUGCGUUGGCUGCUGCAUGUUCCGUGAAAGCCAGAGUUCUGCGGCUUCUGCCUAUGAUAAUAAGCAACUCCUGAAUCUAUGUAAUGUCUUGUAUCAUCCAUUUUGCUCCAAGUCAACGUUUUUCUUUCUUCUAUCACUGACUUUUAUGCUUUCAUUUGCAGCGGAUUCUUGCAAGUCUUCCAGUGUAAAUCUAAUAGAUGUCACUAAGCUGGGAGCAUUGCCAUUGCAGUCAGAGGCUGGCCAAAAUGGCCAUGUGAAUCAAAGUUCACAGGAAGGCCCAAACACUGAUCAAAUUGACUAUGUGAGACUAAGUUCACAGGAAGGCCCAAACACUGAUCAAAAUAACCAUGUGAAACUAAGCUCACAGGAAGACGCAAACACUGGUCAAAUUAGCUAUGUGAAACUAAGCUCACAGGAAGACCCAACCAGUGGUCGAAAUAGUGAUGCGAAGCUAACUUCGCAGGAAGACCCAAACACUGGCCAAAAUAACCAUGUGAAGCUCACUUCGCAGGAAAGUGUAAACACUGAUCCAGCAAUCUACAGCAGUUCCGCCGAGCCAAUGGCUGCUUCUGUUGGUUCUGUGCAAGGAUCAACACCAAUGCCCCAACCAAUGAUUCCACCUCCAGCACAUCCUCAAGUACUUGCGCCUCAACCAAAGGCUCCUCCUUCACCACCAGCUCCUCAAGCACUUGAGCCGCCUCCGAAUGCUUCUCCAGUUCUUUCCUCUGGACCUUCACCGCCACCAGCUCCAAAAGCCUCCCCGCCUCCGCCCUCAGGACCCUCACCGCCUACUGCUCCAAAAGCUGCACCACCACCACCACCACCAUCAAAAUCUGGUGGACCUCUCCCGCCACCACCAGCGCUGCCUGGUUCUUCCAAAAUGCGUCCACCACCACUUAUGAAGUCAGGCAAUAAAACAGACACAGAUGCGGAUUCUAGUGAAGCUAAAACAAAGCUUAAGCCCUUCUUUUGGGAUAAAGUAGCAACAAAUGCUAAUAAAUCAAUGGUGUGGGAUCACCUUAAAGCUGGAUCAUUCCAGUAAGUUGGUAGAGAUAGCUGAGCUAUAUAUCUAGUUAUCUACUACUAUUGUAAGAUCGCACCAUUUUAUAACUAAAUGGUACUUCUUCACAGGUUAAGUGAGGACGCUAUUGAAACACUUUUUGGUUGUAAUGCUGACAAGAAGAGCGGUGAUGGCAAAAAAGAUUUAACAUCAAAGGAAGCUGCCCAAGUUGUGAGGAUACUUGAUCCUAAAAAGGCACAGAAUCUGGCCAUAUCAUUGAAGGCGUUGAGUGUUUCAGCAGAGGAAGUUUCUUGUGCAGUUAAGGAAGGUAAGUUUAUACUGUGCAAGUGCAUAGCUCUUCCUGGACGAAAUGCGGCUUCUUCUGAUUCUUGCCAGUCUUGUAGAUACAGUUAUUUUAUUUUAUUUUUGGGCAAAGCUCCAGUUUUUUUUAAGUUGCAGUGAUACAUCGAAUACUUAUCCAGCUUCUGGUCUAUAACUCCAUGCAAUAAUAUAUCAGCUGCGUAUAUCAUUUGUGUCUUCACAAUCAGGAGUUACGGCUAUUCUUCUGUGCUAAGGACAAUGAAUCACUUGAUUUCAUUUGUUUCUUCUAUUUUUCAAAGCAAAUAGUACACAUUUCUGCUAAACUGAUGUGAGUCUUGUCCUCUAGGUUAACUCUAAUUCUUUAGCUAAUAACAAAGUCAGCAAGAGUAUGUAGCACACAAGUGAUGUCAAAUGCUCAAAUCGGCAUUUGGUUCUAGACUUAACCACAUUUGUGUGCAUCUGGCCUCCAUAUUUUGGGAAUGGACGCCUCAAGCAUGGGUUCAUGUGCUUCUGACUAUUCUAUUUGGACAUUUAGAACAAAGAACAUGUUGAUUAAAUCCUAUUUCCUGAUAACAUCUUUUGCCUUAUCAAUUUCCCUCGAUAAUUUGUAGGAAAUGAACUUCCAUCCGACUUGAUACAGACCUUAAUUAGAUGGGUCCCGAAUACUGAUGAGGAGCUCAGGCUUCGACUAUAUACUGGGGAACUCUCACAGCUUGGUCCUGCAGAGCAGUUCUUAAAAGCAAUCUUCGACAUUCCUUAUAUCUAUGAGCGCCUGGAUGCAUUACUUUUCAUGGCUGGUUUACCAGAGGAAGCUUCAAAUGUAAAGCAAUCUUUUGCCACCUUAGAGGUAAUAGCAUUACCAUUAUGACCUACUCCCUCUGUUCCUUUAUAUAAGGUGUAUUUCUUUUUUGAUAAAAUUCCAGAAUGUAAGGUGUAUUUCUUCUAAUUUCUCAUAAUUCCCUUGUUAGCCCUCCAGAAAUAUGGAAAGUAUCUCUCUGAUGAUUGUCUAUAUCUCUCCUUAUAGCAAAAGAAGGAAACUAUCUAUCUGCCAAUUGCAUGUAUCUCUUACUUUCCUAAAGUUAUUGAUUUAUUUGCCACUACCCAAUAAAUUGGCCAAGGGUAAUUUUGUCCUAACAUGUCUAUAAUUAUGUGCCUUGGUCACCGUGCCAAAAAUAACACACCUUACAUAAAGGAACGGAGGGAGUAUUUGGCUUCCACACUAUAUUCAGUUCUGUUGUAUGACUUGUAUCAGUUUUGUUUGAUGCUCUAUAAUCCUUUAACCGAUGAACAUUUUUAUCAAGUAAUAAUAGAGAUUAUCGUUGUGUAGACGUUACCACUCUUCCUGCACCUUGAUGUUUCUACUGAUCUUCUUAUCUCUGCUAUGUUGGCAUUUAAAUCCUGAUCAGAUGGCUUGUGAGGAGCUUAAAAACAGCCGUCUAUUCUUGAAGUUACUAGAAGCUGUACUUAAAACAGGCAACCGGAUGAAUGUUGGCACGUUCCGAGGAGGAGCUCAAGCGUUCAAACUAGACACCCUGCUCAAGCUUUCCGACGUCAAAGGAACUGAUGGGAAGAUAACGCUGCUGCAUUUUGUUGUUCAAGAGAUAAUCCAUUCUGAAGGUGUCCGUUCUGCACGGGCUGCAAAGGAGCAGAAGGGCAGCGUAUCCAGUGUGGACAACAAUGAUCUUAUUGAAGAGGAGUAUAAACAACUAGGUCUGCAGGUUGUGUCCAGUUUAGGAGAUGAACUUCAAAAUGUCAGGAAUGCAGCAAUCCUUGAUGCAGAUCAGUUGACUAGGUCGAUAACAAGUGUUGGCCACAGGCUCGGCAAAACCAAAGAAUUCUUGAACACAAGCAUGAAAAGUCUGGAUGAAGAUAGUGGGUUUCACCGCAAGCUUGUGCAUUUCGUGGAGCAGUCUCAAACUGAUGUUACUUUCCUGCUAGAGGAAGAGAAGAAAAUACGGUCCUUGGUAAAGAGCACUGUCGAUUAUUUCCAUGGGAGGACAGGGAAGGAUGAGGGCCUUCGGUUAUUUGUCGUAGUGCGGGAUUUUCUCGCAAUGCUUGACAAGGUGUGCAAUGAGGUGAAAGAAGCAUCAAAAGUAGCUCCAAAGAAAACGAAGACUGAAGUUACUCUGCCUUCCCGCACACCCAGGUCUUUUCAAGAUCCCCGGCGUAACCUUUUUCCGGCAAUUAAAGACCGGAGGGCACAUAGUUCAAGCUCUAGUUCUGACGAGGGAAGUUAACUCUAAACGAAGGUACUCUGCCUACCUUUUCCUUCCAGCGCUUGGAGGUUUGCCCUUUGAAAACAUUAGUAAGACGAGAUGAAAAAUGAGAGCUAAAGAAAAAGCAAGAGAUAGAAAAUUGACGAUAAAGCGAACUCUGGCUUUGGUCACUUGUUGCAGCAACAGAAUAAAAUUGCUGAAGGAAGGCAGUCAUCUUCCAUAACGUCCUUGACAGGCAAUUGUUGCACUUUGGCUCCUAUCAAACAAGCAAAGGUGAUAUUCAUGAUCAAGAUGGAGAAGUCGAAACGGAAGCCGUCGAAAGGGGCGGCGAAGAAAACUGACCCCUUAGUUAGGGCGGGCGUGCAGAACAGGGAGGGAGGAAGAAGCAGCAGGCUGGCUGACUGACUCUGACACUGCCUGCUGUUUUUUCGCUUAGCAUUUGUACCAUCACAGAAAGGAGAGGAAUAAAUACAGUAUUUUUUUUAGGGGAAUAGUGUGUUAGAAAGAAAGAGAUGCACCACACAGGCUCAUAGACAUUGGAUUCUUUUGCCUGCGCUUGACAAUACUUUUGCAAAGAGCAACGCUGUAAAUUGCCAUGCUUUCAACUGAAACAUCCUGUGUGUUCGCGUCAUGUGAGUAUAAUCUGGGCGACUUGGUGUGCCUUUUGCAAUGUGGAGUGAGACCUGGUACCAGAUUCGCACUGCUGUGCUGUCGUCGCUUCGUUUCCUCUAUCUGUACCUACCGUUUCCGCACCGUCUGGAUAGUCAGGGCGCUCAAAACAAUGUGCAGCGCUGCUAUAUUUGGAGUGAUAAUUGUUUCAUCUCCGUGCCAUUUCUCUAGGGAAUCCUUUUUUAUCCCAGCUGGUGUUAGAUCGCAAGUAUUUCCCGCCUAAGCACUGUUUCCAAAUGUCUUGGCUCAUCAAAAACUUGGCCAUACAAAAUCCACAACUCCCCGCCAAAAUUCCAUUAUCCCUAACUCGAUCCAUAGCACACCUAUGGAUUGUAAAGGAAAGCACAUCCGUAGUCGAAAAGUUACCAAGACUAAUGCCAAAAUACAGCUUCACAGAUUAAUUUUAGUAAGUAUUUCACAGCUAUAUCGAGUUUUCUAACCAUGAAAGAAUUAAGCAAGAAUAGACCAUGGAAAUUUUCAACCAAGAACAGAGUGGUAGAAAUUCGCAAGUAAGCAAUCCAUAGGUGCAACUUUUAUAGAACGAACUAGCAACGACUUACACAGGAUGUAACCAUUGUCCACACCUAGUUUAGCACCGGUACAAGCACACAGAUUCAGAAACUAAUAGUAGUACUAACAUCCUAGAAGUAAAACGCAACACCUAGGCAACAUUUAACUGAACACGCUACUACACAGAACUGGAUACAGCCGAGCACCCACGACCACCGAGGAGUCGUCAUCUAG